AAACAGAGGCAACAAAAAGAAAUGUCAGCAAACCAAUCCACCAAGAUAGAAUCACUUAUCUGACUCUGAGGCUCGCUUCUUGAACCAGAGGUCCCAUCUUUCUGACAACUUUCACAAUGGACUACAGCCACCUAAACGAGAAGCUGUACUGCCUCUACAAGAGUGAAGAUUGGGUCCUUACGUUUUAUUGGUGAAUUCUUGCUGUUAACAUUUUCCUGUCUUUCUGGACGACCGCAAGGGCAUGUAGUACAUGGAACCCAUAUUUUGAA